CAGUAGCCGCGGUAAUACGGAGGAUCCGAGCGUUAUCCGGAAUUAUUGGGUUUAAAGGGUGCGUAGGCGGAUCUGUAAGUCAGUGGUGAAAUCUCCAGGCUUAACCUGGAAACUGCCGUUGAUACUAUAGGUCUUGAAUUUUGUGGAGGUUAGCGGAAUAUGUCAUGUAGCGGUGAAAUGCAUAGAUAUGACAUAGAACACCAAUUGCGAAGGCAGCUGGCUACACAACUAUUGACGCUGAGGCACGAAGGCGUGGGGAUCAAACAGGAUUAGAUACCCCAGUAGUCCCUGUCUCUUAUAC
rnacentral:rRNA from 1 species